rnacentral:tRNA from 1 species
GGAGGAUAUGCGAAUGGUUAGCAACCUCAUUGGAAAUGAGGCGCCCCUUGCUGGGGUUGCGGGUUCGAGUCCCGUGUCCUCCG